rnacentral:rRNA from 1 species
UGGGGAAUUUUGGACAAUGGGGGCAACCCUGAUCCAGCCAUGCCGCGUGAGUGAAGAAGGCCUUCGGGUUGUAAAGCUCUUUCGGCCGGGAAGAAAUCGCACAGGCUAAUACUCUGUGUGGAUGACGGUACCGGCAUAAGAAGCACCGGCUAACUACGUGCCAGCAGCCGCGGUAAUACGUAGGGUGCGAGCGUUAAUCGGAAUUACUGGGCGUAAAGCGUGCGCAGGCGGUUAGAUAAGUUUGAUGUGAAAUCCCCGGGCUCAACCUGGGAACUGCAUUGAAGACUGUCUGACUAGAGUACGGCAGAGGGGGGUGGAAUUCCACGUGUAGCAGUGAAAUGCGUAGAGAUGUGGAGGAACACCGAUGGCGAAGGCAGCCCCCUGGGCCGAUACUGACGCUCAUGCACGAAAGCGUGGGGAGCAAACAGG